GGAGCCUUCCAAGAUGGCACCGGGGGUCCCGCUGCAGACUGCACACUGGAGGCCCCCAGGGGGGAGCCACGGCCUCGGGGUCACACAGGCUCCUCCCUGCUGCCUGGGCUGGCGUAGCAACAUCCCAGGUGGGCGUCAGGGACUGGGCCUCCCCCUGGGUGUGAUCAGGUGUGUCUGGGGCAGCAGGCAUCAGCUGGUCAGGCCGGACGUCACCGCACGCCCCCAGGAGCCCGGAACUUGCAACAGCAGCACGGAGGGAACAGAACAAUUUCAAUCCAGGCCCGUGGAAAGGUGAAACACCAGCUGUCUGGCCAGUUUUCCUUCUUCCCUUUCCCUAACAUCCUCGACUUGGCGGGUGACGCAUGUAGCCAUCUCCUUCUUCCCGCUGGCCCCGGUGCCUACCGGGAGGCGGGGACACAGGGAUGGCAGGAGCCUGGCUGUUUGGAGCCCCCUGGUGACCGUCUCAGGAAUUGCAGGCAAAGUGCAAUUCAACCGACCCUCUCGACCAGACCCCUCUCUCGCCUCCUAAGAAGCCCAGCGUGGAGUGCUUUGCCCGAGGUCAC
rnacentral:lncRNA from 1 species